AAGAAAACAAAAUAAACCAAGAAGCUACUGUAGUACAUCCGACAAAAGUGGCAAACAACAAGCAAGACAAGAUUAUCCCUGAUGAUGAUUAACUGUUUACCAACUCAAAGUGCACCAGACUGCAUCGGAUUAAAAUUGCGAGUUGGGCUUCCUGCACGGCUUCGUCCUGGAAGAUUCUCCACUUGGUAAGUCAGUAACUCAGAUUACGUUCAGCCUCUUUCUCUUUUCAUUUUCCUGAUGAGAACAUAGCAUUGUGGUUAGCACCAUAAAAAAACAGAAUAGUAAGCAAUCCAUGAAGGAAAUUUCUAUUUUAACCUAUGGAUGAUCAUAUCUAUCUAUCUAAGUGAAAAGUAAAACUCAAAAAGCAACCAGAAUUAGCCACAUCAUCCGUCAAAUAAUAGCCGUUGGAUUCACAAAAUGAUAAAAUAGCAAGGAAAAAUCCUAGCCAUUGAAAUGAGGAAUCUUCUAGAAGUGGUAAAAUACAUAGAGAAGGAAGAGUUUGAGCCACUCAUUGCCUCUCAUUGUAAUCUCAUGUUGGCCUCCCAAACAGGCUUGGCUUGGCCAAUCAACCCAAACGGUCCUUAGACUAGAUGACUAAUUAAAUAAUUUUAGAAAAUUAACAUCUAAUUAUUGAUUUAACUGAAUGGUGGAAAUUUUAUUGUUAAUUACAAUAACGAUUAAUAGAUAGGAAGGUUAUUGUCGCGCGAACGUGCGACUUCAUUCACUAGUUAUUGUGAAAAGGUUGCAAUAUCAAGUCUUUGAUUCUCUAGCCCAUAGGACAUGGAUUAUAUAUGCUCUAUCUCAAAAUUCAAACCAACAACCAAACAAUAUCCCCUUUUGUUUUGGAUUGCCUAAGGUUGACAAAGGGAUUAAUUCUACACUAUGGUGAGUUGGUGAUGGUAACAUCAGUUUUGCUUUUUUUUUAACCUUUUCUCUCUUCCAAAGUACUUUUCAGAAGUCUAAAAGGUUAAAAGAGCAUGGGAGAAUAACAUGUACAUGGAAAAUCACACCUAAAAAUUAAGAAAAUAUAUUAUUACUUGAACCAUCAGUGGUAUGAGAUAGAAAAUGUUAUCUCAAAAAAAGUAUGAAAUAGAAAUGAGAGGAUGAGAUUUUACCAAAUAAUUUCAGCAGAGAUCAAAGCAAGGCAGUUAGAAGCAUACAGAAUGACCCAGUACUUUAAAAGGCAUUAAUUCCUCACCUAAUGGCAGCCGCGAUCUUUCAUGUAGGAACAUUCCCUCUUAGCAUCCUGUAAGUUGACUUCUGUUAAGCGUUGAUGUGGACUUCUUAUUACAGUGAAUAAUAUUUGCCUGCUUUGUUCAGUGAAUUGACCUUAGUGGGUGCUGAAUCAGGAGAUCCUACCUAACUGAAUCUGCAAUAAGAAACCCGAUCGCAAGGAACUGUAGUCACAAGAAUUCUUGGCUACUGCCAUCUGUAUCCUCCUCUUAACAGCAGUAGUACAGGAGUGAGCAUACCGAUUAUGUAAACUCAGUUAAGCAUGAAUGAAAUGGAGAACACGUAAAGCACAAUAUAUCCUUUCCUGUUCUCAUAUCUUCCUUAACUGUAUGCCUUUUUUAGUAACAACAAAUCCCAUAUUUUGUGCAUGGCCUUUUUGAGAAUAUUUUUUUCUGACUUUACAUAAAACAUUGCUCUUCAUAUAAGCAUGUGCAAUAAAGAAAUGGACUAUAAGCAUAGGAAGGAAUGUGCAGGCUCCUAGUACUAGGGCACAACACAAUCAUAGGCCUAUAAUUUGCAGUUGAGAAAGCAAGAUCAGGUGGCUAAUGACCCAAUCUGAUGAAAUAGAUUCAUCUAGCUUGCUGCAGCCUCAAACCUCUGAUGCUAGCUAAGAUAGAGACAAGAAUGACAUAUACAUCACAUAUUUUGGCUUGAGCUGCCCCCCACAUUACCCAUCCCAAUCAUUAAAAAACAAAAAGGAGAAUGGCAUAUGGUUCUUACUGUUUGUAGUGGGGCUAUCACAGUAGAACCCCAGAGGCAAACCUUUUUCUUAAAUAAAAAAGAGAUGCAAACGUUUUUCAUUAGAGGUCAGUUUUAGUUGACUUUUGAUUUUCUCUACCCCCAUCUUUAUUUUGUAUUGUUGAGAAGGUAUCAACUGUGCUCCAUAUUACAAAAGCAUCAAGCAUACUGGCAAAGGUACCCGCCUUUAUUGGCAAGUAAACCUAGAGAAAAGCACACUCACCUCAAAUGAGGAAAAAAAAGAUUAUAGUUUCCAUACUGGUUUAGUAGCAUUCAUUCACAUAGCUAAACAUGUAAACAGGACCAAUUUCACUAGGAAAUAUUGUAUCAUGGCUGAGACAAUUUCUUUUUACACAAAAUCAGGAACAUUUCUGAUUUGUAUUUCACCACUGUACUCUUCUUAUUGAUGUGGGGAGUAUUUCCUUUUUUACAAAAGAAAAAGAAUCAGAUGGUGUUCCUAAUAAGCGCCUAGACUAAUUCAAGGGUUUGCAUUUAGCAGUUGAUUUAACUGUAGCAGCAACACGGUAAGAACAUUUGUUGCAAGUUAGUAUCUGUAC
rnacentral:lncRNA from 1 species